rfam:Schistosoma mansoni strain Puerto Rico chromosome W, complete genome
GCACUGCUGAGGAGUCCCGUAAUAGGGCGAAACGGCCAUCCAGUGC